GAGACGGAGAAUGGCAAGUUCAAUCUACGUGCAUCCAUUCUUUAAUAGCGCUUGAGAUGCCUCUUUUUUUGCUCAACCUUUCCAGCUGCCUUUUUGUUAUUACUGUGCAAGUUAUUUCUGUUAUCGAUGGUUUUCAUUUUUCUUUAUAAAUGGUCGUGCAGUUUCCACGUUGUGGCUAAUCCAACAAAGUUAUGUACUAGCACUCGUGUGCAGAUGCCUCGCGGAAACUAUACAUAUCCUUGCAGCUAAUAUUUGCCAUGCACCAGUGAUGACAAUAGAUGACGAGACCGAGCAUCUUCGGCGGUGAACGCAUUAGCUGCGUUCUGCGGCGUGCUUCGCUGUCGGUCUGCUUUUGAAGACAAAUGAGGCAUUUGUCUGAGGUGCCACGCACUGCCUUAACGUCGCGGAAUGUGAAAGAUUUGGCUGACUAAUUUACUUUCUGUGCAUACGCUUUCUUUUCUCUUUGUUUACACAGAUCGGGUCGAGUGCCACGUGCUUUGUACGGACCUGCCGUAGGACCGUGAUGGCCGCGUGUCAAGACAUCGUGAUGCAUUCCAUACCAGAGAUUUCAGCUUGCUCCCCUACCUACAUGACAGUGGAGUUGCUGAAAUGGUGGCCACCAGUAAUGUGCGUCAUUGUGCAGAGAGAUGGCAGCUUGGUCUCCUACUUGCCCACUUAACGGGGGAGUUGCCAAAAUGGUGCCCAGCAGUCAUUGUUUUUUGGUGACACUUGCUUCCUUCCUGCAGUGAAACCUUCUGUUGGGGUUCAGCAUCUCUCAAUUUGAGGUAAACUUUCUUUCGUGCAGUCCUGUGCUAACCUAACCUGAUGACUUUUUAUCAAAGUUAUCCAGACUUAUGAAGGCUGUGCAGAAAAUUCAGAUAUCUGAUUAAUUUGCCUACAUAUAUUUACGUUGAGUUCUGUGCUGCAUCUAAUUCUGUACUUUUUUUUU
rnacentral:lncRNA from 1 species